rnacentral:rRNA from 1 species
AUUGAACGCUGGCGGCAUGCUUUACACAUGCAAGUCGAACGGUAACAGGCCGCAAGGUGCUGACGAGUGGCGAACGGGUGAGUAAUGCAUCGGAACGUGCCCAGUCGUGGGGGAUAACUACUCGAAAGAGUAGCUAAUACCGCAUACGAUCUAUGGAUGAAAGCGGGGGACCGUAAGGCCUCGCGCGAUUGGAGCGGCCGAUGUCAGAUUAGGUAGUUGGUGGGGUAAAGGCUCACCAAGCCAACGAUCUGUAGCUGGUCUGAGAGGACCACCAGCCACACUGGGACUGAGACACGGCCCAGACUCCUACGGGAGGCAGCAGUGGGGAAUUUUGGACAAUGGGCGCAAGCCUGAUCCAGCAAUGCCGCGUGCAGGAAGAAGGCCUUCGGGUUGUAAACUGCUUUUGUACGGAACGAAACGGCUCUGGUUAAUACCCGGGGCUAAUGACGGUACCGUAAGAAUAAGCACCGGCUAACUACGUG